UUUGAAACUCCAAAUGUUAGAUGCCAUGGAACUGAACCUUAAAUGGCAUAAGCAAACUGGUCUGAGACUAAAGAACAGAAUUGCAUAAUUUUGCAGAAUGUGAGGCUUUAUAGGAGCACAUAUGUGGCAUUAUAACAGAAACAUAUGUGUGCAACAAAACAAAACAAAAACCCAAAACUGAAAAUGAGUGCAAUGGAAGGAAGAGGACACAAAGUGAGGUACAUCUGGUUGCUGGAGAAUCAAGAAAGACUUCAUGAAGGAGAUGACAUUUGCAAAAUGCCCUAAAGAAUGUUAGAAUUAGUCUGAGAGACUGAAAGAGAAGAUGCUAUUAAUAGGAAUAUGGAAAUCAGAGAAAGAAAUGGGUUGGACUGAAAGACUGUCAAGCGCCUUGGAGGGCCCUGGAUUCUGAGGAUGUAACAACUAACAUCUAUUUGAAUCCACUUCUAUUCCUUGAGAUUUGAUCCUGGUAUCUAGAGUCCCUGGCUUGACUCUUAGCUCUCCUUCAAGGACUUGGUCCAGAGCUGAACCAGGAUUACUUUGAGUAGACUACUUUGGAGCCCUUAGGACCCAACCGUGGUCAGGGCAGUGUUCUAGCUAGACUUACCUAUUUCAUCAAGAAAAGAAACCUAGCCCUUACCGGUUUGGCUCAGUGGAUAGAGCAUCAGCCUGCAGACUGAAGGGUCCCAGGUUCAAUUCCGGUCAAGGGCAUGUACCUUGGUUGUGGGCACAUCCUCAGUAGGAAGUGUGCAGGAGGCAGCUAAUCGAUGUUUCUCUCUCAUCUAUGUUUCUGACUCUCUAUCCCGUUCCCUUCCUCUCUGUAAAAAAUCAAUAAAAUAUUUU